rnacentral:rRNA from 1 species
UACGUAGGGGGCAAGCGUUAUCCGGAUUUACUGGGUGUAAAGGGAGCGUAGACGGUUAUGCAAGUCAGAAGUGAAAGCCCAAAGCUCAACUUCGGGACUGCUUUUGAAACUGUGUAACUAGAGUGCAGGAGGGGUAAGCGGAAUUCCUAGUGUAGCGGUGAAGUGCGUAGAUAUUAGGAGGAACACCGGCGGCGAAGGCGGCUUACUGGACUGUAACUGACGUUGAGGCUCGAAAGCGUGGGGAGCAAACAGG